rnacentral:rRNA from 1 species
UGUAAGCGUAUACCAAAGUUGUUGCAGUUAAAACGCUCGUAGUCGGACUUUGGCAGUUCCGGAUGUGUGCACGUCGUGUGCGCACUUCGCGGGGAUUGCUUUUGUGGUCUUGCGUAGGAUGAGGCACUUUUAUUAGUGAACGUCCUCACGCAACCACUUUUUACUGUGAGAAAAUCAGAGUGCUCAAAGCAGGCAUUUGCCGUGAAUGUAUUAGCAUGGAAUAAUAGAAUAGGACUUGGUUCUAUUUUGUUGGUUUGUUGGGACCGAGUAAUGAUUAAGAGGGACAGUUGGGGGCAUUUGUAUUUCGGUGCUAGAGGUGAAAUUCUUAGAUUACCGAAAGACAAACUGCUGCGAAAGCGUCUGCCAAGGAUGUUUUCAUUGA